AUAAACAUAAUGGUUGUCUAACGAGAUACUAUGCAGAAUAAGAUAUUCACGUGAGUCACAUAUUGCGCAUUUACCACUUUCAAAUUUUUGAAAUUGGAUUUAUGCUUUAUCGACUUAUUUCAUAUCAUGGUUCAGGCGUUAAAAAUCUGUGAGGUUUACUCUUCCUUUUCGAUGCCCGUGGAACUACUGUCAAUGAUUUACUCUAUUACUUCUUGGGAAUGUUAAAAAAAAAGAUUACUACAUGAUUUUUUGAAUUUGCCUAUAUCUAUUGCUUUUCCUUCAUUGAUUUGAUUAUUUCAAUAGAUACCGAGAUUCAGAUUGGAAAUAAAAAAUCUAGUAAUUCAAACUAUAAUACAUAAGAGUAAUUUAGAUUUAUCAGAACAAAUAGA
rnacentral:lncRNA from 1 species